rnacentral:lncRNA from 1 species
UUUCAUGAUAGUUGGUUUUAUCCUGCAUGUUUUCGAAAAAGUUUGAGAUUUUUAAACUUUUUUCUUGUCCUAUUAUACCUUUUAUACCUUCCUAGAUACUACUCAGGCAAAAUCUUUUGCUUAUGAAAAGAAAAGGCAGCAUACUUGUACUUGCUUUUUAGUACUUAAAUAUUAUGAUAUAUGUAAUUUACAUGUUUUGUGGAUAUUAAAAGCUUAAUAUAGAAAAUGGUCCCCCAGUUAUUCUGCCUUAAUAUAAACCUUCGUUCUUAGAGAUAUUGGUAAAUCCUUCAUUUUUUUUUCUUAUUCUUUCUGCUUUAUUUUAUGAUUGGAGUGAUGACUGAAGUUAGAUUCUGUUAAAUUUUCCUGUUUGUUUGGAAAUCAGGAAUUUGGGGUAAUAGUGACAUAAUCCUUUGUUCUUUUGUACUGCAAUCCAAAUAAAUAUUUUAUGAUUUCUUAUGAUUAGAGAAUUGCUCUUUCUUUCUUUCUCUUUUUACUUUUUUCUUCCUUUUUUAUCCUUUGGAACAAUAGAGUAGAAUGUUGUUAUUGGUUUUUAGCUUUCAGUGCUUCUAUAGAUCAUGGAAUCCAUUAUUGCUUCUUGUUUUCAUUACAUGCAGUUAAUUUAUUACUUUGCUAACCCAUCAUUAUUAUUGUUUUCUAUUUUUCAGAUCUCUGAAGAACAAUGUAAUCAGACUAGUCUCUUUGGUUAAAAAUAGUCGAAGACUUGCGACUGUUGAUGAAAAUUUACCCAUGAAUCUUUACCUGGCUGCACCAUGAAAUUAGGUGACAUAUUGUUUAUUUAUGGUCCCUGCA